CUUUUUCUGGGGGGCCACACUUUGGUAACCAUCGUGCCCCCCCCCUUGCGGGGGAAAAAACGACAGAUGGGAGCUUGCUCCCUGAUGUUAGCGUUUUUACGGGUGAGUAAAACCCGGGUAACCUGCCUGUAAGACUGGGAUAACUCCGGGAAACCGGGGCUAAUACCGGAUGGUUGUUUGAACCGCAUGGUUCAGACAUAAAAGGUGGCUUCGGCUACCACUUACAGAUGGACCCGCGGCGCAUUAGCUAUUUUUUUUUUUAACGGCUCACCAAGGCAACGAUGCGUAGCCGACCUGAGAGGGUGAUCGGCCACACUGGGACUGAGACACCCCCCCCACUCCUACGGGAGGCAGCAGUAGGGAAUCUUCCGCAAUGGACGAAAGUCUGACGGAGCAACGCCGCGUGAGUGAUGAAGGUUUUCGGAUCGUAAAGCUCUGUUGUUAGGGAAGAACAAGUGCCGUUCAAAUAGGGCGGCACCUUGACGGUACCUAACCAGAAAGCCACGGCUAACUACGUGCCAGCAGCCGGGGUAAUACGUAGGUGGCAAGCGUUGCCCGGA
rnacentral:rRNA from 1 species